GAACUCGAUUCCGAUUACCGCAGGUCUCUCGGACUAGUUGAGAGGGUGCAUGUGGUUCGUCCGAUAGAUCGUAGCGUGGCGAAAGCACCGGAGCAGUCUCAGGAAUUACAAUGCGCCUGUAAAACCGGCUAGGCUUCCGACAUAGACGCGGUGGUCUGUCCCCCGAGUGCCAUUCUUCUGGAUCUGAUGCAGCGCAAUGUUCUUUUGCGUCUGCCGACGGGCGAGCUCGGUCAACGUAAUACAACUGCUUCGAAUUGAGGCUACCAUAUCUUCUGCUAGAGCGGAACAUGUUCCCUCGGGAAUGUGAACAACAACCGGCCUGGCCUCUGGAUCUGGAGGACUCCCAUCCGAGUCAGUGGAGAUAUAUCGGGUGCUGCUUUCCAUCGGCCAGCCCACGCACUGCUCUUGGGUAACGCAUUUGCGACACGAGCGAUGUCUGCCAUAGCCUCGGGAGAAUAGCGCAACACCUCUUGCCAUGGUUCGGGGAUUCUGGCAAACUCUACUAGUUCCACAAAUGCCCCGUUGGGGCAGUAUGCGUUCAGAACAGAUUGGGGAGGGGUUUGACCGAUCACCGUUCCAACCGGGAAUUGCCUGAAUGCGGCACGGUCCCGACGUCCCCGUGGGCCUACUAAGGCCCCGGUCAUAAUAUCGACGGGAACUGGGCCAUGGGAUGUGUUGAAUCUGUGGAUAGCUUCUACUAUCUCUGGACUAUCCGUCAUAGGGGGACGUGUCCGCAAGGCCAGAGGAGGAUGUCACCUGAAUAUCAUUGCGUUGGACGGCUCGGCCGGACUUGGGAGGACGCCCACGUGGGCGUCCUCCCCCACGCCUGUUUGCGGUUUCUUGGGGUAAGUAGUCCUCAUCUUCCAGUUUACGCGUUCGGGGCGAUGUUUUUCUCCCCUUAGACUGCGGUCCGGAUCGCCCACCACGAUUACUACCUCUGCCCCGACGCGGGCGGCUCGAACAAUCAGCCCGCGGUCUGGGGGGCGACGGAGAUGGUGACCUAGAUGAUGAAGGUGAAGACGGGACGAUUAGAGAAGAUGAUGACGGUGAGGAUGAUGAAGAGGAGGAAGAUGAAGAGGAUGGCGAUCUGGAAACAUGUCCGACGUUCCGGGCCGCGUGGUCUGGGGGAACUUCGUGGAGAUGAGGUUGUGUGAGGCAGUUCGCUCAUUCUGCCAGAAGAUGGAGUAGUCAGCCGUGGACCUGAGCUCAACUCUAGCUUCGCGAAUGGCCGCGGAGAGCGCAGGAGGCAGCGUGGUAGAUGGUUGUGGCAUCUCAAAAGUAACUUCGCAGCCAGGCAUUUAAAGUCUUUCCAUGCCAAACCGGUCCAGGGAUUGGUGCUUCCAUCUCGGCCGUCCACCCAGGUAAUCUCGGGCAAUGGGAACAGCAAUCACUUUCGAAUUCCUUCAGCCCAAAGCACAACCGCGGGUCCACCGGGACUCUCCGACAUAGCUCGAGCCAAAAGGGAAUUGUAGCCCAGGCAAGAAGGGCGGUGCAUAUCUGCAAGUAAACAAAACUCGGGGUUCUGUACGAUUGGCCGGGGUCUUACAUGCUCGCCGAAUUGGAUUUGAGAAUCAAUCUUCCGACGGGUCUCCUGACUUGAACAGGGGAAAGGGGGAGGGGGAGUGUGUUAUCUUGUCGCGAACCAAUAA
rnacentral:sRNA from 1 species